rnacentral:rRNA from 1 species
GGUGUAGGCGGCUUGGCAAGUCGGGUGUGAAAUCCCUGGGCCCAACCCAGGAACUGCACUCGAAACUGCCUCGCUAGAGUCCCGGAGAGGAUGGCGGAAUUCCAGGUGUAGAGGUGAAAUUCGUAGAUAUCUGGAGGAACACCAGUGGCGAAGGCGGCCAUCUGGACGGUGACUGACGCUCAGACCCGAAAGCGUGGGGAGCGAACA